CAGCAGGCCAGGCACAACUCUGCCACUCCCCAGGGAAGGAGAUGACUUUUAUCAUCAGUACAUGUCACAAGAAAACAUUUAAAAUGACACUGAAACAAUCAUUGAAAUCAUGGUGCAUGGAGGAAAAAGGUAAAGAAAACAACUUUUGGCUUGUUUUGGCAUGAGACCUUGAUACAAUUUGGGUUCCCCAAAACCAUGUGAAGGGUGGUAAAAUAGAAAUGCUCAAAACUGACUUAAAAAAAUAAACAGGCUUUACAAAAACCCUCUUUUUUCUUAACCCAGCCACUUCUCGACAUGGUCUGCACAUACAGUAGAUACAUUCAUUAUUGUCCAAGGGAAGACAGUAACUGCCUUUCAUUUUAAAGAGCUUGGUGGAGAGGCUGAAGAAAUGUGCUGCAGCUGAAGGUGAGUAGAAUGUUCCA
rnacentral:lncRNA from 1 species